CUGUGCUCUUUCUGUCAUCGUUUCGAGAAUGUUGGAUAAGUGGAAACAGAUCCGAAAGUCUGCAGGUUGUCUUUUCACCCUCUAAACAGAGUCUUUCACAGCAUGAAACAAAUGGAGGCUUUAAAUGGCCAUUUCAGAAAAGCCUGACCUAGCCUUGAGAGCGUCGGACACGGUCACUCCACCGGUUCCCACUCACGAGGGCAGAUCAUGGGUUUAAAUCCCAUUUGGGUGUGCUAAUUCAGCUUCACAAUAGCUCACCCACCAUGGGCUUAACGCUAUUCAGUGGCCACAGGUGAGUGUGUUUCAGGACAUCACAAAAAGAUAAGCUGAGAAAGAGUGGCCCACCGCUGCCAGAACAGCUUGAGGGCAAGUCCCCACUGACCCGGAAAGUGAGUCAGUUGCAUCACCCCCUUAGAAACCUGGAAAAUGCUUCAUCAUCGGUGUAGAGCGAGAGCCAGCAUUCAAAACGCCAGGGGGCUUAUCAGGCCAUUUCACCACAACAUAAAGUAACAGGCAGACUUGAAUUCAUCUGGCACUGUUGACCAACACAGAGAGCCAAAACACACACGGAAUUCAAAAUCAGAAAUAAUCCCAAGUUUGAGUCAUCCAAUGUGCUUGUCUACAUUGAUUGCACUCACCAGAUAAAAGUCCAAUGCACUCUGUGGGGUGAAACAGCCUCUGUCUCAGGUUGGGAGUUGCUGCCAUGGAGACCACAAGAGUGGAGAUUUUCUGACACACAGAAAGGAAUGGAUUACAGCUCCUUCUUAUGUAAAUUUCCAUGGAGGGGAAAAAAGAUUAAAAGGAAAAUAAUUCUGCUUUAGUCGUUUUCCUUUAAGGUGAUAAGAUCCUUUGAUUCCAUCGUGGAGAAGAAGGCAACAGCUGUUUGUCACAAAUGAUGGGAAAUGUGCCAACGUCACAACAAGGUUUGAGGGAGGCACAUCUCAUGCUCGGACAUGAACACCCGAUCAUCAUGCUUAUGAACUACAAAAGGAUCUCCAGUAUGGGCUCACGGCAGUUGGCCCUUGAAUAACAUGAAUUUGAACUGCCUGAGUCUGCUAAUAUGUGGAUUAUCUUCUGCUUCUGCACCCUGAGACAGCAAGACCAACCCUUCCUCUUGCUUCUUUUCCUUAGCCUAUUCAACGUGAAGAUGACUAAGGUCUGUUCCACAUUAUCUUCACUCUAGGACCCAAGCUGAUAAAGCAGCUCCCUCUGGAGCUAUUGAUGGUCUCAUGGAAGAGACAAAAAAAGAUCACAGUGAAUCACAUUCUGCUUCUGAACUCUUCUGCCUGGAAGUGACAAACAUCAUUUCCAUCACAUUUCACUGACCAAAGCAAGUCAUGAGUGUUUCCCAGGAUGUACAGAGAAGUCCAGCCUCACCGUAGCACCUGAGCAGUGGGUGGGAAAUAGCUGAGGGACACAUCUCAAUCGAUGAACCAGCACUCCUGAUUCUCUGCAGCCUGCAAACUUCGGGUAAGAGGGGUAAUGGAAUUAGUAGUUCCCAGAUGGCCCUUGGAGGGUGUACUGGGUUGACUCGUGGCCCUCCACAAGAUAUGUCCAAGUCCUAAUCUUUUGUAACUGUGAAUGUGACCUUAUUUGGAAAUAAGUCUUUACAGAUGUAAUUAAGGAUCUUGAAAUAAAAUCAUUCUGAAUUUAGGGUGGGUCCUGUAUCAAAUGAGUAAUGUCUUUAUGAAAAAAAAAAAGAGGGGGAGAUUUGAGGCACAGAGACAAAUCAUUCUGAAUGUAGGGUGGUUCCUGUAUCCAAGCAGUAGUGUCUUUAUGAAAAAAAAAAAAAAAGAGAGAGAGACAGAGGGAGAUUUGAGGCACAGAGACACAGGGAAGAAGGCCAUGUGGAGAUGGAGGCAGACAUUGGAGUGGUGCUGCCACAGCCGGGGAAGGCCAGGAGCUAUCCAAAGAUGGAAGUGACCAGGAAGGAUUCUUCUCCAGGGCCUUUGGAGGAACAGUGGUACUAGCAACACCUUGAUUUUGGACUUCUAGCCUCCAGAACUGUGAAAGAAUACAUUUCUGCUGUUUUCAGCCAUGUAGUUUGUGGUAAUUUGUUAUGACAGCCGUGGGAAAAGAAUCCAGCAGAGAAGAUGUGGGGCCUGAAAUAACUGCUGGGUCAGCAGAGGCCUGGCUUAGUACUGAUUGUACAGAGACAUCUCAGCUGGAGGAAAGGGCAAGAACCACACUUUUCAGCAGCAGGUGCCAGCUUAUUGCCCCAAAGGGUGGGGAGGCACUCAUUGUGCCAGAGAAGAUACCUGUGCUGGGUCCCGGAGACCCGCCCAGCUCAGCUGCCUCCUAGGGAAGAUUUGCCUUCCAUGAAGGAGGUCUUACAUAUGAGGUCUCGUCUCUAGCUACUGCAAGAUAAAAGCUUUCUUUUGCACCCAGGCAUGAAAAAACCCUGAAAAACUGAGCGUUUGCUUCUCAGCGACUCAGCUUGAAAGAGGCUGUUUUAAACUGGAAGAGGUUGAGAGGCCUUCAGUUGGUGAGUUUAUUAUUUUCCCUUGCUCCUCUGUGAAAUGAAGCUCAUGAAGAAGCGUAGGUCAGGUACAGAAUAUAAAAGAAUGACCUUUUCUUUUUCCUGGACAAUUUAAGUGCACUGUCAUCUCACAACCUCAAACUCUUUAAUAUGGUAAUGAGAGGCAAAAGGCAUUUUAAUUUGGAGCUAUGUCGCAGUUUUCCAGCAUGUGAAGAAAGCAUCCUCAGUUGCCAAAAGGUCACGUGUGGGAUUAGUUGCUAGGCUGUGGGAUUAUUUUUCUAGGCUUGCUGGGGAAAAGGGCAAAAGAGAAGAAGCAAACUAGCAGAGUCAUGUGGCGUUUCUGUCCUGGGACUUACGCAAAUUAUGCAAUUGUCCUUUGCAUUCAAAUCUGUUCCUCUUCCACCUGAUAUUUUGCUGAGGGGACAAGUGAAAUUCCAAAGCUCAGUUUGCUGAAGUGUGCAAAAUGCUAAUCAGCUUCCACAGCCCACAAAGUGGCAGAGAGGGCGUGCCUCUCUGGAGAAGAGAGGAGAGACUGGACUAGGAGCUGGGAGGAGUCUGGCUGACUCAGCGGCCCCAGACAAACGCACUUCCAUCCUUUCCCAUUUCCGUUGUGAACUCUUCUCCGUGGGCAAGAAGAGGACUCAGAACAACUGCUAUCUUUUUACAAAGAAGGAUGAUGUGCAAGGGGGUCAUUUACAAGAGGAUCAAGGGUUUGGCUAUGUUGGGAGAUGCUGAUUUUGAUAAAUGUUUCCAUAUCUCUACAAAUGUGCCUUUCUGAGUCUCCAGUUAGACUUGAAAAAGACUUUGGAGAUUGUCCCCUGCACAGUGGCUCUGAGCCUGGACACCUAGGAGAUGCUCAGUAAAUAUCUGUUAAAUAAAUGAAGGAAUGGAUAUAGUCCAAACUACUUGGUCAUGCAUCCAGUUUGUGGCAGAUUUGGGUCUCUAAGGCCCAGUACACUAAUCACUCAGCUGGGAGUUUUUAUUCUGUUCCAUCUUGCUGCUAGGACAACUGUAGCCACCCAGAAGGAUGUCUCAACGCUCUGGAAAGUUCUCUGGCUGAAUGUUGCUAUGAUACAAUCUUUUAACAAGCUGAUUGCUCAGUAGCAAGAGCAAGUGCUAUUUAUGUUGGGUAAAUAAGAAGAAAUGCUGCCCUACUGAUAUUUGUUAAGUGCCCCUUUAAUAUUUGUGAGGAGGCGAUCUUGACAAAAUUUUGAGAGUGUAUACACUGGCAAAUUUUACCUUUUAUGGACUGUAAUAUCCUAUUGCUACUUGAUUUAAAAAUCUUUCCCUCUCUUCACAUAUAUCCAUAUGAAAAAAAACAGCAGAGAGAGAUAUAUGUAUAUUAUAUGGGAGAUAUCUAUCUAUCAUCUAUCUAUCUCCCACUUAUGACCUGAAAGCCCCGUCUUUGAGAUGUUCUGCCUUUCCAGCCUAAAUCAAUGUAUACCUUACAUGUAUUGAUUUAUGUCUUUGCCUGUAACUUCUGUUUUCCUAAAAUGUAUAAAACUAAACUGUAAUUCAGUCACCUUGGGUACACUUUCUCAAGCUUUCUUGAGACUGUUUCCCAGGCCAUGGUCAGAAUAAAC
rnacentral:lncRNA from 10 species